UACGAAGGGGGCUAGCGUUGCUCGGAAUCACUGGGCGUAAAGGGCGCGUAGGCGGCCACCGCAAGUCGACUGUGAAAUCUCCGGGCUUAACUCGGAAAGGUCAGCCGAUACUGCGGGGCUAGAGUGCAGAAGGGGCAACUGGAAUUCUCGGUGUAGCGGUGAAAUGCGUAGAUAUCGAGAGGAACACCUGCGGCGAAGGCGGGUUGCUGGGCUGACACUGACGCUGAUUGUGCGAAAGCUAGGGGAGCGAACGGG
rnacentral:rRNA from 1 species